UACAGAGGGGGCAAGCGUUGUUCGGAAUUACUGGACGUAAAGGGCGCGUAGGCGGCCUUCUAAGUCGAACGUGAAAUCCCCGGGCUCAACCCGGGAACUGCGUCCGAUACUGGAAGGCUUGACUCCGGGAGAGGGAUGCGGAAUUCCAGGUGUAGCGGUGAAAUGCGUAGAUAUCUGGAGGAACACCGGUGGCGAAGGCGGCAUCCUGGACCGGCAUUGACGCUGAGGCGCGAAAGCCAGGGGAGCAAACGGG
rnacentral:rRNA from 1 species